UUGCUUCAGCAGCAAAUAUACUAAAAUUGGAACGAUACAGAGAAGAUUAGCAUGGCCCUUGCACAAAGAUGACAUAUAAAUUCAUGAAGCGUUCCCUAUUUUA